AAAAGAUGUUGCAAAUGGUCUGAAGUGUAUUGUUUGUUUAGCAACAAGAUCAAACUCACUCACAAUGUUCAAGCUGGUUCUUGUAGUACUUGCCGCACUGAUGGCCCUUGCCAUUGCUGCCCCAGGUCCAAACCCCCAAAUUUAUUCACCAGUAGUUUCUUCGGUUUACCCUGGUGCUGGUUAUGUUGCGUCCUACCCCUAUGGAGCUGCUGUCACUUAUUACUAAUGUGGACCCUGUUGUGUUUCGAAGAUCCGUUGAUGUAAAAAAUACAAAAAAAUAAAAUAAACUCUAUUAAUAAUCGUCA